UCGAGAAUCAUUCACAAUGGGGGAAACCCUGAUGGUGCAACGCCGCGUGGAGGAUGAAGGUCUUCGGAUUGUAAACUCCUGUCAUCCGGGAGUAAGACCUGACGGUGAACAGCCGGCAGGGUUGAUAGUACCGGAAGAGGAAGGGACGGCUAACUUCGUGCCAGCAGCCGCGGUAAUACGAAGGUCCCAAGCGUUGUUCGGAAUCACUGGGCGUAAAGGGUGCGUAGGCGGUCUCGUAAGUCGGGCGUGAAAUCCCGGGGCUCAACCCCGGAACUGCGCUCGAUACUGCAAGACUUGAGGAUCGGAGAGGAGACUGGAAUUCUCGGUGUAGCAGUGAAAUGCGUAGAUAUCGAGAGGAACACUCGUGGCGAAGGCGAGUCUCUGGACGAUUCCUGACGCUGAGGCACGAAGGCCAGGGUAGCGAAAGGG
rnacentral:rRNA from 1 species